UGCGUAGGCGGAUUAAUAAGUCAGUGGUGAAAACCUGCAGCUUAACUGUAGAACUGCCAUUGAUACUGUUAGUCUUGAGUACGGUCAAGGUAGGCGGAAUGUGUAAUGUAGCGGUGAAAUGCUUAGAUAUUACACAGAACACCGAUUGCGAAGGCAGCUUACUGGACCAUUACUGACGCUGAGGCACGGAAGCGUGGGGAGCGAACAGGAUUAGAUACCCUGGUAGUCC
rnacentral:rRNA from 1 species